CUGUGAUAAAGAGGACUGAAGGUACAUAGAUUUUCAAAUUGCAAAAGCGUAUGGAAGGGCAAACAGUUAUAGACCUUUAUGGCUGCAUCAAAGCAGUAGUACCACAUCAUGAGGCGUUCGUUAGAAGCAAAAACAAAAUGGAAACAAAUGUGAAAUCACUUUGGAAAAUCUGAGUAGAGAAGAUCUGAAGAUAACUCUUUGGGGGGAUACUGCAAGAGAGUUCGAUCUGGAUGCAAUUUACAAUUUGCCUCCACCAGUACUAGCAAACAACCAACUCCAUCGAGCACAAAUCACAGCUGCAUAAUCAUUGAUCCAGACAUUGGCCAAAGAGAAGACUACGAGGAAGAGUAAGUGUUUUUAUCAUCACAAAAUCAUAGUCUAUUAAUAUUAAUAAAUUCACAAUCCAUUAAACUCAAUUGCUUCAUGUGUAAAUGUGUACACCGAUAAAAUGAAAAACAUUGCAGGUUCUCAAAAGCCGGGGAUAAGCGGAAGUUGCUACCAACUCCAUCCAAGCGACCACUCCACCAAGAAGCCAAAGAUCGUCCCCUCACCCAAAAAAAAAAGAUCAAUUGAACCAAGCAAAAGGACAUUAUUCAUUUCUGACCCAGAGAAGAAAAUCAGGAGGGAACCAGAACAAGGAAGCGCCACUUCAUCAUCACUGGCAAAAGAAGAACAUAACAAGGAAAACGAGCAGUAAAUUUGCAUCACUCUUUUGUACAUAUGUAACUAACAAGUAGAAGCUGCAUUGACUACAAUUUUUGGUAUAACUGUAGUCAACUAAUCAACUGAAACAUUUUGUACACUGGAAUAACCAAUUUUUGAAACAGCUUCUAGUAUAACCUUUUGUAAACAAACUUCAGUUGAUUCAGCAGCUAUAACUGAACCAAUCUUAUGUUUUGAAGAUACAAUGCAGCUGCUGUUUUUGAAGAUGCAAUGCAGCUGCUGUGCUUAACAGUAUCUCUCAGUUACUCCUGCUAGGUUAAUGAAUGACAAAUUUGUAGAACUAGCAUUUUUGUAUUAGGUAUGAUUCAAUGUAAACAAUGUAAAACUAAAUAUAUAUCAAUAAUAUGUUAUAAUCUUUCUUUUCAUU